rnacentral:rRNA from 1 species
UACGUAGGGUGCGAGCGUUAAUCGGAAUUACUGGGCGUAAAGCGUGCGCAGGCGGUAAGUUAAGUCUGAUGUGAAAGCCCCGGGCUCAACCUGGGAAUGGCAUUGGAAACUGGCUUGCUAGAGUGUGGCAGAGGGGGGUGGAAUUCCGCGUGUAGCAGUGAAAUGCGUAGAGAUGCGGAGGAACACCGAUGGCGAAGGCAGCCCCCUGGGCUGACACUGACGCUCAGGCACGAAAGCGUGGGGAGCAAACGGG